rnacentral:rRNA from 1 species
AGAGUUUGAUCCUGGCUCAGGAUGAACGCUAGCGACAGGCUUAACACAUGCAAGUCGAGGGGCAGCGGGGGUAGCAAUACCCGCCGGCGACCGGCGCACGGGUGAGUAACGCGUAUGCAACUUACCUAUCAGAGGGGGAUAACCCGGCGAAAGUCGGACUAAUACCGCAUGAAGCAGGGAUCCCGCAUGGGAUAUUUGCUAAAGAUUCAUCGCUGAUAGAUAGGCAUGCGUUCCAUUAGGCAGUUGGCGGGGUAACGGCCCACCAAACCGACGAUGGAUAGGGGUUCUGAGAGGAAGGUCCCCCACAUUGGUACUGAGACACGGACCAAACUCCUACGGGAGGCAGCAGUGAGGAAUAUUGGUCAAUGGCCGAGAGGCUGAACCAGCCAAGUCGCGUGAGGGAUGAAGGUUCUAUGGAUCGUAAACCUCUUUUAUAAGGGAAUAAAGUGCGGGACGUGUCCCGUUUUGUAUGUACCUUAUGAAUAAGGAUCGGCUAACUCCGUGCCAGCAGCCGCGGUAAUACGGAGGAUCCGAGCGUUAUCCGGAUUUAUUGGGUUUAAAGGGUGCGUAGGCGGCCUUUUAAGUCAGCGGUGAAAGUCUGUGGCUCAACCAUAGAAUUGCCGUUGAAACUGGGGGGCUUGAGUAUGUUUGAGGCAGGCGGAAUGCGUGGUGUAGCGGUGAAAUGCUUAGAUAUCACGCAGAACCCCGAUUGCGAAGGCAGCCUGCCAAGCCAUUACUGACGCUGAUGCACGAAAGCGUGGGGAUCAAACAGGAUUAGAUACCCUGGUAGUCCACGCAGU